UGGGAAUCGUAGUCUUCAAAGGCCCCAGCCGGGCUUGACUGCAAAGGAGCCAAGACUACAAGUCCUAUAAUGCCGCGGGUUAAUCGGUUGGCCGUUCCUUUUGAAUGAUUUCACUGCGGUUUACAUUCCCAGGGAGUUUCGCAGCCGCAGUAAGAGACUGGGGGGGAGGCAGGAAUCAUGGUGUAAGCGGCGGGCGAUCGAGGAGCCAAGGAGCCUUCCCGGUUCAUGGCACGCCGGGCAAGUGGCGCUGGAGAGGAGAGGACCAUGGUGGCCGAGGGACUGGCGGGGUGCUGAAGGUGCUGAAGGGGCGGAGGGUGCUGCGGGGUCCGUCCUUCUGCUUGCUUUGCCUGCCGCAUUUCCUUCCUUUUUGCCGGUCUGGAAACCCCCCUCUUGGCCGCCUCCGCCUGCUGCAAAAAGAUGUCUCUAGCCAUGGAAGAGGAAGAAUACGCCAAGCUGGUGAUGGAGUCGGAGCCCGAGUGGCUGCGCGCCGAGAUCAAGCGGCUCUUCCAGGAGCUGGGCGAAACCACCCGGGAGAAGAUCCAGGCUGCGGAGUAUGGGCUGGUGGUCUUGGAAGAGAAGCAGCAGCUCAAGCAGCAGUACGAGGAGCUGGAGCUGGAGUACGAGACCAUCCGCACCGAGAUGGAGCAGCUGAAGGAGGCUUUUGGUCAGGCUCAUACCAACCACAAGAAAGUAGCAGCAGAUGGAGAGAGCAGAGAGGAGACUUUGAUACAGGAAUCUGCCACAAAAGAAGAAUACUACAUGAAAAAGGUUAUGGAACUGCAGACAGAACUCAAGCAGCUGAGGAACGUCCUUGCCAACACCCAGUCUGAAAAUGAACGCCUAAAUUCAGUUGCCCAGGAACUGAGAGAGAUAAAUCAAAAUGUUGAGAACCAGAGAGGCCGCUUACGGGAUGACAUCAAAGAGUAUAAAUUCCGGGAAUCUCGCUUGCUGCAAGAUUACACUGAACUUGAAGAAGAAAACAUCUGCCUUCAGAAACAAGUGUCUAUUCUGAAACAGAAUCAAGUGGAAUUUGAAGGGCUGAAGCAUGAAAUCAAAAGACUAGAAGAGGUUACAGAAUUCCUGAAUAGUCAAUUAGAAGAUGCGAUAAGAUUGAAAGAGAUAUCUGAACGCCAGCUUGAAGAAGCCUUAGAAACCCUGAAGACAGAACGUGAACAGAAGAAUAAUCUUCGGAAAGAAUUAUCUCAUUAUAUGAAUAUCAAUGACUCCAUGUAUACCAGCCAUUUGAACAUCUCUUUGGAUGGACUGAAGUUUAGCGAUGAAACCACCGAGCCCAAUAAUGACGAGAUUGUGAAUGGCUUUGAACCAAAUUGCCUGAGUAAAAUCAACAAUGGCAAUAAUAAAGCAUCAACACCCAAAAAAUCUGACAGCUUCCCUCCAGCUCCUAGUUUGGUGAAUGAUCUUCUGAGUGAGCUAAAUAUAUCUGAAAUCCAAAAAUUGAAACAACAACUAAUGCAGAUGGAGAGAGAAAAAAUGAAUCUGUUGUCGACACUCCAAGAAUCACAAAAACAAUUGGAGAACACCCGGGGUGCACUUUCUGAGCAGCAUGAGAAAGUUGGCAGGCUCACCGAGAACCUCAAUGCCAUGAAAAAACUCCAAGUCAGCAAGGAACGUCAGUCUGCUCUUGACAAUGAGAAAGAACGAGAUAGCCAUGAAGACGGAGAUUAUUAUGAGGUCGAUAUCAAUGGGCCAGAGAUCCUGGAAUGCAAGUAUAAAGUAGCUAUGGCAGAAAUCAGUGACUUGAAAGAGGAACUUAAAGCUGUCAAGGCUAAAUAUGAGGAAUGUGAAUCUAAAUACGAAGAGGAUAAAAGCAGGUACGAGACAGAAAGUCAAGCCCUGACGGAAAAGAUCAGUUCUUUGGACAAAUCUAGUAGGCAAGAUAGGGAGCAGGUCAUCAGGCUGGAGAAGGAACUCAGGAAAGUCACUGAUGUUGCCGGGGAAACCCAGGGCAGCCUUAGUGUAGCCCAAGAUGAACUAGUCACCUUCAGUGAGGAAUUAGCCAACUUGUAUCACCAUGUAUGUAUGUGCAACAAUGAAACCCCCAACAGAGUGAUGCUAGAUUACUACAAACAGGGCAAAGGAGGACAUACCAGUCCAGAGGUCAAAGGCCAUAGAUCACCAAUCCUGCUCUCUAAAGGCUUAUUGUCAAUAGAUUUAGGAAAACCAGAAACCGGGAGUGGUGAAAGCAGCCCUUCACCAGUUUCAUCCCUCCCUUCACCAGUAUCUGAAGUAUCCCGGAAGGAACCUAUGAAUGUUUACAACCUGAUUGCCAUAAUCCGUGAUCAGAUCAAGCAUUUGCAAGCAGCAGUAGAUAGAACAACUGAACUGUCACGGCAGCGGGUGACUACGCAGGAACUUGGGCCAGUAGUGGACAAAGAUAAAGAGGCACUUAUGGAAGAAAUUCUGAAGCUGAAGUCUUUGCUAAGCACCAAGAGAGAACAGAUUGCAACACUGAGGACUGUACUAAAGGCCAACAAACAGACAGCAGAAGUUGCCCUUGCAAACUUGAAGAGCAAAUACGAAAAUGAAAAGGCAAUGGUUACAGAAACAAUGAUGAAGCUGCGCAAUGAACUGAAAGCUUUAAAAGAAGACGCUGCUACUUUCUCUUCUCUGAGGGCCAUGUUUGCUACCAGGUGUGAUGAAUAUGUCACUCAGCUGGAUGAAAUGCAACGCCAGCUUGCUGCAGCUGAAGAUGAAAAGAAGACCCUCAACUCCCUGCUUCGCAUGGCAAUUCAGCAAAAGCUGGCCCUGACCCAGCGCCUUGAACAUCUUGAGUUGGAUCAUGAGCAGUCCAAAAGGGUGCGCACAAAAUCCGCAUCCAAAGCCAAGAGUAGUAACCCCAGUGUAAGUCACAUUCGAUCAUGUGGAGACAAGUCGGAAGGCCCUGUGCUUAAUAACCAAGUUUUUUGCAGUGAUAAGUAUAAGAUCUGUUGUGAUUAAAGAAGAAAUUAGGAAGCCGUAAACACUCGUCUGAUGUUUGUGCUUUUGAAUGUCAGCAUUAACCCCCACUAUAUUAAUAUUGCAGUGAUGAGUGGAUUUAUAUUAGUAUGUUGUUAAACCAUGUAAUACAAGGUGUAUUAUAGUGGUCUUAACUUGUAACUGAGUCACAAGCAUGGGUGGGGGAAAGGCUGUGAAGAAGUUAAUGGUGGAAUAGUAUUUGCUAUUUCCGCAAUGAAUGGCUUUGGUUUUGUGGAUUAUGGGUAAGUGCUAAAGGAGCAUAUCAGGUACAGUCUACAUGCUGUUACUAACUGUAGCUUGUCUAGCACAAAUGGGAUGUUUUUCCCAGAGUUGUAAGUUUGUUUCCAGGGAUGGAGACAGCAAAACUGUCUCCUUGGUUAGUAGUUUUGAGAAAUAAUGGUAUCCAGCUUCUAAAAUCAGAAGUACAGUGGGAAGAUGAUUAAAUCUGCUGCAGCGCUUAAUUGCUGUCAUUAUCAUUAUCUAAAAAUUCAAAAAAAAAUUCUCUAAAUUUAAAAUAUGAAUGCAAACUAUGGGAAAGAAGGCAACCUUCUCAAGCCCUUUAUUUUCUAGCCCUGCUUGGCUUCUUGGGCUUAAGCUAUUAAAAAAUUGCACAUUAAAAAAAUAUGCAAUGUAAUAUUGCCUGUUUGGGUGGAGAAUUUAAUGGUUAAGGAAAGCAAAACUAGAACACUACAUCAGAGCAGAUGAGAUGUAGGAAGAAUAUACUAUACUACAACGAUAAAAUAUUAUGGUUUCUGGCAAUUAAUAUGCCAGGAGGAAAGGUGAAUUACACAUUGGACAUUAUCUAUAUUAAGCUUAUUUAAUUUUCCUUGAUUUUAGUGGGACAAUUGCAUAAUUGUUUUCUGCUGCAAUCAAAGAGAUUACAUAAUGCUUAGAGGAUGUCCAUUAUUAUCUAUGUGUAUAGAAUUAAUAGGAAUAUGUUCUAGUAUUGUCAAAUUGCAAUGCAGUUUCUCCUUAACUGUCAGUAUUAGAGCUUUAUUAGGAUAGUAUUAAUGAGCUCUAAGUUUUGUUUAAAUAAUACAGAAUUGUAUUUCUUAUGCAACCACACACUUCACAGGGCUCUACAUUCUAGGCACUGGAAACUAAAUGAUUAGUUUAUUCUUGGUUAUGCCUAAUUGUGAGGUAGAUUAGCAUAGAUGUAUUCAUUGAUUAAAAAUACUUCAUCAAACCUUUAAGGGGCCUUUUUAGCCACUUAAUUUCAAUACACUAGAUUUUUUAAAAAGUGUACUUCAUAAUUGGUGCCUAAAGAAGGGGGAAUGACACAGGAGGGGAAAAAUAUGGUUUUUUUAAAAAAAAAAAUUGUGGUAAAUCCAAGGAGCACAAAAAGGCACACUUAAAACAAAAACAAAAUAAUUCAGAAGUGCCUAGCCCCAAACCUUAUUUUAAUGUAAAGCCCUGUUCAUACUAUACUCUUUUCAAAUAACUUUGUACGCUUAGAAUAUUACAAAGAAGUAAUGCAGGACUGUGCAGCUGUGUCUGCUAAUGUAGAAAUAUUUCUUUCCUUCCUUCCUCUUCCCCCCUUGAGCCAUGCUAAUAAUAAUCUUGGUGUUGUAUUGCCUCAUCUCACAUUACUAUCUCUUUUUAGAUGAUCUGCAGCUUCCUUCCUAUGUAGCACUGCUCUGCCUAUGAAGUAGUUAGGAGAUAUAGCAAUGUUACUGUAAAAUAAUAAAGAGAGAGCUUUCCUAGUAAAAGGAAGCCAAUAAUUGCUUACAUCUUUCUUGAAAUUGGGAAGAAAACUGAACAUAUUUGCAACAUGGGUUGUAAAGAAAAAAUCUUUAAUAAAGAAUAUAGAAAUUAGAAGGUGAAAUUAGUUCUGCUGAAUUCAAACUAAUUGUGAAUUAUUGACUGAUUGGCAAGCAUAUGAACAGUGUUAAAAUGGUAGACCCUACAUGCCUCACUUUAUUAUUGCUUUUGCAGGAAACACUCUAUUCUCCUGAAUUUGAGCUUUAAUGUAGCUAUUUGCCAGGUUUUGAUAUUUUUAGAAUGCCUUUUAACAGUGGUCCACCCUGCUUUUCUCCUUUAAUGCUCAAUAAUCCAGAAGGCCUUUUUAAGAUCUGUUCCCCUUCUUGCAAAACCCCUGCAUUGAUAAUAAAUACUAAGCUAUUUUGCUCCAUUAGAAGCAGCAACUUUUUGCUUCCAGGUUAAGAGGGAUCUAUGAAAUACAGUUUUCAAACAUCUCCUUUUCUUGGGUUUAGGGUGAGGAAAUUUUAAGAAAUUGAUUGCAUUGGUAAAAAUUCAGGUAAAUUGACAUUAAAUUGGGAGAUUUAAGGGUUCUGGGAUUGCAACUGUGCAUCUGGUGUAUUAUAUUUAUAAUUUUCAAUAGGUUUGCUAAUUGUUUACAUUGUUGUCACUGCUAUUUUUGUUAAUCUUCAAUCUUCUGAGCCCUUGAACCGUUCUGUGUCUUUAGAACUCACAGUAACUGCUUAAAGCAGUGCUUCUCAAGCUUCAUUAUUCAAAAGGGCUUAUCCAAAAGUCCUUUGGACCUAAUGUAGGUAAUAGUUUAAUUUGAAUGUCCCUUUUGUGAUUGGGUAAUGGGUUUGUAUGUCACUACCAAAAAAAAAAAUCUUUUACCCAACUUUGGGUAAUUUAUACAAGUUUGGGAAGCGCUGCUUAGAGAAUGGCAGCCCAGCUGCAUCCUUAUAUUUGUUUAGUUGUACAUUCAAUUUUUAGAAACAGACUUGGGGGGAAAAACAGCUAUGAUUUGCUCUUAUGUCUAAGCUUUGAGAGGGGCUUGUACUUACUUGGUUUAAAUUUUUCAAAAUUAACUUGAUGCAUCCAAUGUUUCCUUUUGCUUUUAUUGGGUUGAAAUACAACGUGGAAAACUUACUAAGCCAUCACCUACCUCUGGAAGUGGGACUUCUCUUCUGAGUGAUUUUACUGCUCACUGUAUUGGCUGGCAUGAUAUACUGACUCACCUGCAUGCUUGUGAAGAGGCAGCAGCUUCACUGAUCAAUUCUCUUGUGAAUUUGCCAUUUUUAUUUACGCUUGAGCAACUUGGCUUCAGGAGUUGUAAGAAACUUUUCUUCCUGCACAGCUUUGGCUAACAGCUGUAGAGUAGUUCCUGAAGAAGGCCAUUACAACAAUACAACUUCAUAUCUUAGCCUGUGUCGUUAUGCUUAGAAGUUAUGGUUGCCUGUUGCACAAAGAAUGGAAACUACUCUUAAUGAAUUCUCUACUCCCCCCCCCAUCCCCAUUCAAAAUAUGUUCUUUUCAAUAUGCAACCUCUGUUCUCAUUUAGCCUUUUUUAUUUUAUUUUAUUUUGUUUUAUUUUAUUUUGGCAUGUUAUGUCUGGAAACAAAAAAAAAAGAAAGCUUUAUCUUUGAAGUGCUGCUGCAGGAAGAAAACUUACAAAUGCUGAAGAAACAUACUUCAUAAUGUAAUAAUUGCCAUGGUAGCUUAUUAUGCUCAUAAGAAAUAUUCAAACUGUGUUUUUUAAUUUCAUUAUAGAACUUUUUUUUAAAAAAAGCAGUUGAUUGUUUAAACAUGUGCACUUUUACUAUUUUGAUAUUUACUUUAAUAUCUUUUUAUUCUUUUUUUUGUAGAAGAGUUUAUAUUAAUGGGGGAAAAAAUCUAGUGACUUAUGCUAAUAGUCUGUCUAUUUGGAGCUUCUGCUUGAUCUUUCCUCAUCCAUUUGUGGCAGAGUUUUAUACUAUAUUGUAUUGUUAUACCCUGUAUUUAGAAAGGAGCUUCAAUACAAACUAGGACUUCUGCUACUUGCUGUAUAUCAGCAUCUUUUUUUAAAAAUAUAAAAUAUUAAGCUUUAUAUGUUUUCAAUUACUGAUUUUUAACUGCCAUGUUAAUUAAGAAAUCCAGGGUAUUCAAAUUCUGGGGUUUUUUCAUAUUGUAUUAUUAUUCUUAGGAAUAGUUCAAUGUAACAAGAAGAAAACUUGACUUUGCUCUGGUGAAAACAGUUAUAGGCACUUGAAAAUAAAUAUUAGUGUUACCUAUAAAUUCCAGAAUGUCUGGGUUUUAGGAAAACCUUAUGGUGUAUGAUUGGUUAACAGAAUUUUAUACAACGAUAUCACUUAAAUUCCAAAUUGGAAUUGUUUUUGUUACUACUUUGUUUUAUUGUGCCAAAUUGUGUUACAUUUUAGAAAGAUAACGUCUGAAGUUGUGACUGCUAGGGUGUUCAACUUCAGCGCCUUUUUUUUCCAUUUAAUUAUUGCCAGUAGUGCCUUUCAUAAUUUUUAAGGGAGAUCCCUAAACUAGCUUAGUCCGUCCAAGAAAUAAAGAACCAUGGUUUUGAAAGCUAGUUAUCAAGUGGAGCAAUAAGGGCAAUAUAACCACCCCUUCGCACAUUUAUUAAUGAGUAGGCCUACUGUAGAGUAGAUCUACUACAUAUGCUCAAAUUGUAAAAAAUUCUGUUAGUCAAUGAUACUUCAUCAUGCAAAUUCAGGGGUAUAGAAGAAAAAAAGUAAACAAAACACAAAUAUACUUUGCAAACCAAAAGUAAUAUUAUUGAACAAAAAAAAGCAAGGUGUAUUAAUCCAUUUGUAAUUGCAGUACAGAGGAUGUUUUGGGAGUUCUGCUAGCUUUGUGUGGUGAUGGAUCCAGUUAACCAUAGUGUUGUUUGCAAAUGUGAAGAAGAAAAGCAAGAUAUUUAAUAUUUUUCUCUUGCAUGUUUUAUCUAAUUCAUUUGUGAUUUCAGGAAACAGAAACUGAGAUGUGCAUCAACAAGUUGUCCCUGCAGUACUAUUUGUUGAGGCUAACUUUGAAUAAUUAAAUUUGGUAACCUUGCGAGGAGCAGAAAUCAGUUUUUCUUUUUAUAUAAAAUAAUUUUUAAAAGAAUUGAAAUUAUAAUCAUGUCAUGGGAAAAAGCUUUCUGUUUGCUGAAAAAAAUGUUCUAGAAGGUGGGGACUUAAGUUUUCAUCCUUUUGGUUACAGUAUUGACUUAUAAGUGGUAUGAUUACAUUUAAAAUUACAUCUCUGUGUGGGUAUUUAUUUGAAUGUCAAAGUACUGUAUUAUGUUUUUAUGUGCAUUUCCUUUUAGUGGUGGAUGGUCUCCAUUUUAUUGUCAUAUGCAUGAACUCUUGCCAAGUAACCUUUACACAGACCUGCAGCAAAGAACUUAAUGGAAAUUCUUAAAAGGAAACUGUGGAAAUUAAGCAACAACUCUGGUGUCAUUUUGAUAAUUUUAGGAGGUUUAGGGGGCAAUGUUAAUUCCCAAAAAAGAGUGCAUGUUGUAUAGGAAAGCAAUCUAUCUGCGUAAAGGUAGUUACAUUGGCAAUAUCAAUAAAGGAGAAGGAAGAAA